CGCUGACCCAGUGCCAGGCCUCACUGAAGCUGACCUCCAUGUUAACCCUGGACACAAGCCGAGCAGGAAGGAUAAUGCCGGCUUGACAACUCCACUGGUUUCUGCUCCCACUGGCCCUACCUCCGUUAGAGGUGUUCGCCAGGCACCCCAUGCAGUCACCAGCAGACAGCUGCUUUCUGCACAGGUUCCAAGAUGGACUCACAGCAGUCUCCGCCAGCCGUGACGCUGAGAUGGGUGUACACCCAGCUCUGGAGGAACCCAACCGCCUGUGGUCUCUCCAUAACGGCUGCAAAAUACCGCUUCAGUUUUGAUUCUUUCGUGGAGGAAGAGGUAACUUCAAGUUAAAACCAGCAGGCGCACCGCUCACUCCUGGACGCUGAGACUAGACACUGGGUGGAAACCGGUUCCUUCUGGCCCCUGGGCCCUGCACCAGAGCUCGACCCCCACCGCCUCACCUGUCCUGAUGGCGUCCUCCAGCCUGGGGUUUCUCUCUCCCUGGAGAAGCCGGUGGUAGUAGCCGGGAUUCUGGUCCAUCUGAGCCUGGGCCCCACUCAGCGCCAUCCAGACGCGGGCACGGUGCUCCAGCGGGACCCCUUUCCGGACAUAGCGCUUCACUGAAGGCCGAGAGGACAGACAGCGUGUGAGCUGGACCAGGGGCCUGCGGGGCCCACGCAUUCCUGCCACACUUUCCACUCUCACCAGCUCUCUUCUUAAAUCAAAUAUUAAAGAGACCCAGAACUUCGUCCAUCUCCACCAAAACUGGUACAUAUACUCCUUUAAAAAUUCUGCUCUCCUCUACCUCUCAAGAGCACAGAUCAGACUGGCUACAGAACCACCCCCACACCCACUUCACCAUUCAAUGCAG
rnacentral:antisense_RNA from 1 species